rnacentral:rRNA from 1 species
UACGUAGGGGGCAAGCGUUGUCCGGAUUUAUUGGGCGUAAAGAGCGUGUAGGCGGCCAGGUAGGUCAGCUGUGAAAACUCGAGGCUCAACCUCGAGACGCCGGUUGAAACCAUCUGGCUAGAGUCCGGAAGAGGAGAGUGGAAUUCCUGGUGUAGCGGUGAAAUGCGUAGAUAUCAGGAGGAACACCGGUGGUGUAGACGGCUUUCUGGACCGUAACUGACGCUGAGACACGAAAGCGUGGGUAGCAAACAGG